rnacentral:rRNA from 1 species
GAUGAACGCUGGCGGCGUGCUUAACACAUGCAAGUCGAGCGAAAGGGCCAGAAGAUUGUUUCUUUGAUGUUUGCGGCACAGGGGUGCGUAACACGUGGACACCCCCCUUAUCAGUCUGAGAUCAUUAUGAGACUCCGGAGCUAAUACCAGAUCAUAUUUUGAUCCGUCUGGUUCAUUAGAGAAAGACGGUAUUGCUGUCUGUUAUCGAUGGGUCUGGGCUGCAUUAGCUAGUUGGUAAGGUCACGGCCUACCAAGGCAACGAUGCCUAGGCGACCUGAGAGGGUGGUCGGCCACACUAGAACGGAAACGCGGUCCAGACUCCUACGAGACGGAGCAGAAGGGUAUCGUACGCAAUGGGCGGAAGCCUGACGGAACAACGCCGCGUGAGUGGUAAAAGUCUUGCGAUCGGGAAACUCUGUUAUUAGUGAAAAACAGAUGUGUAAGUAACUGUGCACUUCUUGACGGUACCUGAUCAAAAAGCAACGGCUAACUACGUG